rnacentral:rRNA from 1 species
AUUGAACGCUGGCGGAAUGCUUUACACAUGCAAGUCGAACGGCAGCACGGGGGCAACCCUGGUGGCGAGUGGCGAACGGGUGAGUAAUACAUCGGAACGUGCCCAGUCGUGGGGGAUAACGUAGCGAAAGCUACGCUAAUACCGCAUACGAACUCUGGUUGAAAGCGGGGGACUCGCAAGGGCCUCGCGCGAUUGGAGCGGCCGAUGGCAGAUUAGGUAGUUGGUGGGGUAAAGGCUCACCAAGCCGACGAUCUGUAGCUGGUCUGAGAGGACGACCAGCCACACUGGGACUGAGACACGGCCCAGACUCCUACGGGAGGCAGCAGUGGGGAAUUUUGGACAAUGGGCGCAAGCCUGAUCCAGCCAUUCCGCGUGCAGGAUGAAGGCCCUCGGGUUGUAAACUGCUUUUGGACGGAACGAAAAGGCCUUUUCUAAUAGCAGGGGGCUCAUGAGCGGUACC